UACGUAGGGUGCGAGCGUUGUCCGGAAUUAUUGGGCGUAAAGAGCUUGUAGGCGGUUUGUCGCGUCUGCUGUGAAAAUCCGGGGCUCAACUCCGGACUUGCAGUGGGUACGGGCAGACUAGAGUGUGGUAGGGGAGACUGGAAUUCCUGGUGUAGCGGUGAAAUGCGCAGAUAUCAGGAGGAACACCGAUGGCGAAGGCAGGUCUCUGGGCAUUAACUGACGCUGAGGAGCGAAAGCAUGGGGAGCGAACAGG
rnacentral:rRNA from 1 species